rnacentral:rRNA from 1 species
CACGUAGGGCGCAAGCGUUGUCCGGAAUUAUUGGGCGUAAAGAGCGUGUAGGCGGCCAGGUAGGUCCGCUGUGAAAACUCGAGGCUCAACCUCGAGAUGUCGGCGGAAACCAUCUGGCUAGAGUCCGGAAGAGGAGAGUGGAAUUCCUGGUGUAGCGGUGAAAUGCGCAGAUAUCAGGAAGAACACCCGUGGCGAAGGCGGCCCUCUGGGACGGUACUGACGCUGAGACGCGAAAGCGUGGGGAGCGAACAGG